GCCCUAGUAGCUCAGCGUCAGAGCGCCGGUCUUGUAAUCCGGCGGCCGGCGGCUAAAAUCCGCCCUAGCGCU
rnacentral:tRNA from 1 species